GCUUGUAGUCACACAGCUUGGAUCAGGCCUAAAGGAUGAACAUGUCCCCCACUGUGGCCUCUCUGUUGUGGCUUGGUGAGUGCCUGGGCCCAGGCUGGGCUGGAGGGGGAAGAAGGUGGGAGAAGGUGCUAGGACAGGGGCACCAAGGAAGGUGAGGCUGGGAGAGGCUUCCCGGGAUCUGCCCCUUCUUCUGUGUGGGACACUCAGUGGGGCAGCUGGUUAGAGUGGGGCAGAGGGGUGCAGCUGUGGACAAUUGGACCUGGGAGCUGAGGGCAUCUCUAACUGCAGCCUCUCCUUCAGGGCUGUGUCUGGCUCAGAUCGCUGCUGCAGGGGCUCAGUCCCUCCCUUCAGUGGGCUCCUGCCCAUCUUCCAGCUCAGAACAGAAGGGCACCUCCAUGGCAGGGACCCCCAAACCCUUCAUUAGGGCUGUGCCCGGCUCUGUGGUGCCCAGGGAAGCACAUGUACAUUUCUGUUGCCGGAGCCCAUGGAGAAGUGGGAGUUUUCAGCGUUGGAAGGAUGGAGGAUGCUCACGUCAGAUAAACACCUCCAGAGAGCAGGCUGAGGGCUGCUUUCCAACUUUGUUAGCUGCUCCAGGGAGAUACAGCUGCCUCUCCUCCCGGGGACUCCACUGGUCGGAGCUCAGUGACCCCCUGCAGCUGCUGGUGACAGGUAAGGAGGAGGCCAGGAAGACGUGGUGCUGGGGAAGGGCUUGUCCUCACAGCCCCUCCAGAGCCCUCUCUGGCUUAGCCCAACAGACUAGUUUGCAGGAAAGCCCAGAGCUGCCUGGCCUCUGGGAUCCUCUUGUCUCCUGACUCUCCUGGCAUGGAGAGGCAACGGAGCCCACCUUUUCUCUCCUUCCUUGGGCCCUCUCUGCCUCUGCCCCAACUGGAUAAAGCUUUCCCUAGGACCGAUGCUGACUCUCCAUGCAGUUGAGGUGCAAACAGAUGAUAAAACAGCAUCUCAGAGCUGGAAGGGCCCUCCAGCUCACAGCUCCACCAACAAUGUAUCAGAAUCCCUCUUUUCCACAUUCCACAACAUUUGUCACUUUGGCCAAUCAGAUGAGUGUGAGAGGAGAGCCCAGAAUUACUCUGGUUUGCAUUCCUCUCAUGAACAGUGAUUUAGAGCAUUUUCAUAUUCAUGUAUAGGACUGUUUUCUCCAUCUGAACACUGUUCCUGUUUGAGGCCUGCUUAUCUCUUGGGGGAUGACCUGAUCUGUUUUCUGAUUCUGCUUCUUUUCAUUCCCAGGACAUUUCUCCAAACCCUCCUUACGUGGAGCACCAAGCACUGUGGUAGCUGCAGGAGACACAGUGACCCUCCUGUGCCAGGCGUCACCCACCUAUCAUAACCCCAAAUUCACGUUCUCUCUGCUGAAGGCUGGGGUGCCCCAUCCCGUACAGCGCCAGAGCCCAGAAGGGCAUGAGGCCAACUUCACUCUCCCGUCUGUGAAGGCUGAGGAUGCUGGGAGCUACAGCUGCAUUGACUCAGUGGAAGGGAGAGCAUCAUCUCCCAGUGACGCCCUGCACUUGGAGGUGACAGGUGCGAGGAGAGCCCUCAGGAUACCUCCACCUCCCUUUCCCCCCGUAUGUGGGGCUGGUGGGGGGGCAUGGAUGAUAAAAUAGCCUCAUCGGGCAUUUGUGUGGCACCUUCUAUGAACCAGGCACCGAGCUAAGAGCUGUACAAAAAUUGCCUCAUUUUAUCCUCCCCAAAGCCCUGGGAGGGAGGUGCUGGGAUUGUUAUUGUUGCCUUCUGUCUUAGAAUCAGCAUUAAAUAUCAGUUCUAGGGCAGACCUGGAAGGGCUGGGCAAUCAGGAUU
ensembl:lncRNA